rnacentral:rRNA from 1 species
GAUGAACGCUGGCGGCGUGCCUAAUACAUGCAAGUCGAGCGAACAGACGAGGAGCUUGCUCCUCUGACGUUAGCGGCGGACGGGUGAGUAACACGUGGAUAACCUACCUAUAAGACUGGGAUAACUUCGGGAAACCGGAGCUAAUACCGGAUAAUAUAUUGAACCGCAUGGUUCAAUAGUGAAAGACGGUUUUGCUGUCACUUAUAGAUGGAUCCGCGCCGCAUUAGCUAGUUGGUAAGGUAACGGCUUACCAAGGCGACGAUGCGUAGCCGACCUGAGAGGGUGAUCGGCCACACUGGAACUGAGACACGGUCCAGACUCCUACGGGAGGCAGCAGUAGGGAAUCUUCCGCAAUGGGCGAAAGCCUGACGGAGCAACGCCGCGUGAGUGAUGAAGGUCUUCGGAUCGUAAAACUCUGUUAUUAGGGAAGUACAAAUGUGUAAGUAACUAUGCACGUCUUGACGGUACCUAAUCAGAAAGCCACGGCUAACUACGUG